rnacentral:rRNA from 1 species
CCCGCUGAACUUAAGCAUAUCAAUAAGCGGAGGAAAAGAAACCAACAGGGAUUGCCCUAGUAACGGCGAGUGAAGCGGCAACAGCUCAAAUUUGAAAUCUGGCUUCGGCCCGAGUUGUAAUUUGCAGAGGAUGUUUCUGGCGCGGUGCCUUCCGAGUUCCCUGGAACGGGACGCCACAGAGGGUGAGAGCCCCGUAUGGUUGGACACCAAGCCUGUGUGAAACUCCUUCGACGAGUCGAGUAGUUUGGGAAUGCUGCUCUAAAUGGGAGGUAAAUCUCUUCUAAAGCUAAAUACCGGCCAGAGACCGAUAGCGCACAAGUAGAGUGAUCGAAAGAUGAAAAGCACCUUGAAAAGGGGGUUAAACAGUACGUGAAAUUGUUGAAAGGGAAGCGCUCAUGACCAGACUUGUGCCGGGCGGUUCAUCCGGGGUUCUCCCCGGUGCACUCCGCCCGGUUCAGGCCAGCAUCGGUUCUCGUUGGGGGAUAAGAACGGUAGGAACGUGGCCCUCCCUCGGGAGGGUGUUAUAGCCUGCCGUACGAUACCUUGAUGGGGACCGAGGUUCGCGCUCCGCAAGGAUGCUGGCGUAAUGGUCAUCAGCGACCCGUCUUGAAACACGGACCAAGGAGUCGUCCAUUAGAGCGAGCGUUUGGGUGUAAAACCCGCACGCGUAAUGAAAGUGAAAUUAGGUGAGAGCUUCGGCGCAUCAUCGACCGAUCCUGAUGUUCUCGGAUGGAUUUGAGUAAGAGUUUUAACGGACGGACCCGAAAGACAGUGAACUAUGCUUGUAUAGGGUGAAGCCAGAGGAAACUCUGGUGGAGGCUCGCAGCGGUUCUGACGUGCAAAUCGAUCGUCAAAUAUGAGCAUGGGGGCGAAAGACUAAUCGAACUGUCUAGUAGCUGGUUACCGCC